GCGGAACGCCGCGCCGCGCGACUGUGCCUCGGUCUCUGCGCCCGGCUCUCCCUCCGGUCCGCAAGAGGAGGAAGGCCCGCGGCGUGCCGAGGUCAGCGGCGCGGAGCCACCAGGCGAGACGGUCACGGACGCCUGAACCGAGGUCACCGAGGCCACGGGGCCGGGAGGCCCUCAGCAGAGCCCGGGGGCUCCGCACCUCAAGGCCGGCCAGGAAGAAACAGCAGCAGGAGCCCAGGGCGCCCCGGGGAGCCCCCGACACGCGGGCCGAGCGCCCAGAGCGGCCCAGGCCCUCGCGAGGAGACCGGCCUCCCCAGGGCGGGGCUUCCGACUCGGGCGCCCGUGAGCCCCGGAGGCGGCGCGAAGGGGCAGAGUCCGCGUUUCUAACCAGCCCCCGGGUGGGCGGUGGCCCGCGCGGCACGGUGGGCGCGAGCGCCGUGGGCUGGGGCCGGCCUGGGCUUUCAGGGCGAGGGCUUUCCGCGCCGGCCCCAGCCCACCCGGCCCCGCUGCGCGCCCCUCACGCUGCAGCCUGGGAACCUGGGCCGGGAGCUGCGGGCCGCUCCGGGGAAGCGGGCCUGACCUCCCCUCCCCACCGCCGCCCCUGCGGUGAGAUCCUGCCUGCCGGGGCGCAGGGGCCCGCGGUUGGGCUCCGGGAGACGGAAGAGGCCCCACAGCUCGGGCCCCACGCAGUGGACGCUGCCACUUAAUUUUGGCGUAAUUGAUGUCAAGGCGGGUGCCCGGGCCCCCAGUGAAAUGCCUCAUGAACUCGCUGCGAGGAACGGCGCUCCACGCGGUGCACGGUGGCCAAUCAGAGCUGCCGCUUCUGAUGGAGGCUGAGCCGGCUGGGGAGGCGUCUUGGCCAAGAACCAGCCCCAGCCUCGCUCAGGGCCCCAACCCGCAGACCAUGUAAUUAAGCUGCGUUCUGCAGCCAGGGCAAGACAGAAGAUGGGCGUUCCAGGCAGAGAAGAGCUGCCCAGUCACGUGCUCUGCUCCACCUGGUCAGAGACCCUUGACCUUUAGAAGACUGGACCUGAGGGCGUGGCUGGUGGACCUGAGGGCGUGGAUGGUGGACCUGGCCACCCAGCUGUAGCUUUUUGGGUUCCUGUGGUCCCAUUUCUUGGGUCAAUCUCACACCUGGCAGCUCCCAGGAAGACACCCCCAGGCCCCUCACACUCCUGGGGGCAGCUGGAAUUGGCUUCAGGGCGGGACCAGGGGCCCCAUGGGUGUUUGGAAUCCCUGAUCUGGGUCAGGCACCGGCAGCAGGAUUCCAGCCUGGCCUGGACUCUGGUGUGUCCCGUUUGAAGAAACCCCGCCCUGUGAAAGUUCAAGUUUAGCAUCCAAUGACCCAUUUAAGAGGUUUGCUGAGCCACGUCACAGGAGGGUCUGGGUGCAAACGGAGGUGGCAACACACAGAGCGAGCCUUGAGCACCCAGGUUACCCCCAGGACCUCCAGUCUGGCUUGGGGGCUCCUGCUGUCCUGUGGAGCAGCCCCCUGGGAUCAGGGACGGGGCUGAGCUGGAGAGUGUGCAGGAUUGAUUAAUGAUGUCUGCCACGGUCAGGCCAACUGCUGUGUUUCUGGGGCCCACAAGCUAAAAAUGGUUGGAAAAAAAUCAAAACAUUAAUAUUUGUGACAUAUGAGAAUGCUAUGAAAGUCAACUUUGCUAUCCAUAAAUAAAGUUUUAUUGACA
rnacentral:lncRNA from 1 species